UGGGGAAUUUUCCGCAAUGGGCGAAGCCUGACGGAGCAAUGCCGCGUGGAGGUGGAAGGCCUACGGGUCGUCAACUUCUUUUCUCGGAGAAGAAACAAUGACGGUAUCUGAGGAAUAAGCAUCGGCUAACUCUGUGCCAG
rnacentral:rRNA from 1 species